CCUCAGCUCAGGUGAGAACACCUGCUGAGUUUAAGCAUAUAAUUAAGUGGAGGAAAAGAAACUUACAAGGAUUCCCCUAGCAGUGGCGAGCAAACCAGGAAGAGCCCAACAUGAAAAUCGGGCAGCAGCGUCUCCUGAAUUGUAGUCUGUAGAAGCGUCCUCAGCAGCGGACCUGGGGCAAGUCCCUUGGAAGGAGGCGCCUAAGAGGGUGACAGCCCCGUCAGCCUGGGACCCUGCCACAUCACGAGGCAUUGUCGGCGAGUUAGCUUUUUUGGGAAUGCAACCCUAAUUGGGUGGUAAAUUCCAUCCAAGGCUAAAUACGGGCGAGAGACCGAUAGCGAAUACGUAUCGUGAGGGAAAGAUGAAAAGGACUUUGAAAAGAGAGUUAAAGGGUGCUUGAAAUUGCCAGGAGGGAAGCGGAUGGAGGUUUUCGAUGUGUCUCGGUCGGAUGUGGAACAGCCGAGGCUGGUCCGCCACUCGACUUGAGGUGCAAACCAACACAGGCUGCUGCAUCGUCACAAGCACGGGUGGAUUGUCGCCUGUCGGUUUUCCGCUGCGGUGGUCGAGGAACGAAGUGUGUGCCCUUGUGGCGGGCUCUGUGCACCUGCGCACUCGUGGUGUUGGUCGGCGGGCUUUCCAUUUGACCCGUCUUGAAACACGGACCAAGGAGUCUAACAUGUGUGCGAGUCGGCGGGUUUGAAAACCUGCGAGGCGCAAGGAAGCUGACAGGCAAGAUCCCCUCUCUUGGGGGGUUGCAUCGUCGACCGACCUUGAGCUUAUGUGAAGGCGAGCACACCUGUUGGGACCCGAAAGAUGGUGAACUAUGCCUGACCAGGGCGAAUCCAGAGGAAACUCUAGUGGAGGCCCGUAGCAAUACUGACUUGCAAAUCAUUCGUCUAACUUGGGUAUAGGGGCAAAAUACUAAUUGAACCAUCUAGUAGCUGGUUUCCUCCAAAGUUUCCCUCAGGAUAGUUGGAGCUCACGCGCGAGUUUUAUCGGGUAAAGCAAAUGAUUAGAGGCAUCGGGGGUGUAACGCUAACCUAGAUCCCACAAAGGGUGUUGGUUGAUUAAGACAACAGGACAAUGGUCAUGGAAGUCGAAAUCUGCUAAGGAGUGUGUAACAACUCACCUGCCAAAUAAUCUAGCCCCAAAAAUGGAUGGCGCUGAAGCGUGCAACCUAUACUUGACCGUUGGAGCAAUUUCUUGGCUCCGAUGAGUAGGAGGAUGUGGGGGUCAUUGAGACACCUCAGGCGUGAGCUUGGUUGGAUUGGCCCCCGGUGUAGAUCUUGGUGGUAGUAUCAAAUAUUCAAAUGAGAACUUUGGAGACUGAAGUGGGGAAAGGUUCCAUGUGAACAACAUUUGGACGUGAGUUAGUCAAUCCUAAGAGAUGGGGAAGCCUUGUAUCAAGGGUGCACUCUGCAUAAGCAUUGAAAGGGAAUCAAUUUAAUAUUCCCAAACCGGGACAUGGCGGUGGGCAGCAACAUUAGGAAAUCUGGAGACGUCGUCGGGGGCCCCGGGAAGAGUUAUCUUUUCUUUUUAAUAGUUUUCCCACCCUGGAAUCGGUUCACCCAGAGAUAGGGUCUAGCAGUUGGAAGAGCACCGCAUGUCUUGCGGUGUCCGGUGUGCCCUCAAAAGCCCUUGAAAAUCUGGGGGACUGAGUACUAUUCAUGCCCAGUCGUACUCAUAACCGCAUCAGGUCUCCAAGGUGAACAACCUCUGGUCAAUAGAACAAUGUAGGUAAGGGAAGUCGGCAAAACGGAUCUGUAACUUUGAGAAAAGGAUUGGCUCUGAGGUUUGGGCCUAGGGGUUUGUUCCCACAACUCGUGGGCUUUCGGUAGUCUGCCCAAGCUGCUCUCGCGGUGAGGGUGGGCAGUCGCGUGCCGAUUGGGCUACGGGCGUAGAAUGCCCCCUGCCGAGGGCUUUUCCCUAGGCGUCAAACAGUCGACUCAAAACUGGUACGGACAAGGGGAAUCUGACUAUUUAAUUAAAACAAAGCAUUGCGAUGGUCCCUGCGGAUGCUGACGCAAUGUGAUUUCUGCCCAGUGCUCUGAAUGUCAAAGUGAAGAAAUUCAACCAAGCACGGGUAAACGAUGGGAGUAAUUAUGACUCUCUUAAGGUAGCCAAAUGCCUUGUCAUCUAAUUAAUGACGUGCAUGAAUGGAUUAACGAGAUUCCCACUGUCCCUAUCUACUAUCUAGCGAAACCACAGCCAAGGGAAUGGGCUUGGCAGAAUUAGCGAGAAAAGAAGACCCUGUUGAGCUUGACUCUAGUCCAACUUUGUGAAAUGACUUGAGAGGUGUAGAAUAAGUGGGAGCCGUUUUUGGCGCAAUUGAAAUGCCACUACUUUUAACGUUAUUUUACUUAUUCUGUGCGGCGGAGACGGGGCACUGCCCCUGUUUUUGGCCUUAAGGCACGUUUCAGCGGGUCGAUCCGGGCGGAAGACAUUGUCAGGUGGGAUUUUGGCUGGAGCGGUACAUCUGUUAAAAGAUAACGCAGGUGUCCUAAGAUGAGCUCAACGAGAAUAGAAAUCUCGUGUGGAACAAAAGGGUAAAAGCUCAUUUGGUUUUGAUUUUCAGUAUGAAUACAAACCGUGAAAGCGUGGCCUAUCGAUCCUUAAUAUUUUUAGAAUUUGAAGCUAGAGGUGUCAGAAAAGUUACAACAUGGAUAACUGGCUUGUGGUAGCCAAGCAUUCAUAGCGACGUUGCUUUUGGAUCCUUCGAUGUUGGCUCUUCCUAUCAUUAUGAAGCAAAAUUCACCAAGUGUUGGAUUAUUCACCCACCAAAAGGGAACGUGAGCUGGGUUUAGACUGUCGUGAGACAGGUUAGUUUUACCCUACUGAUGAACCGCACCACAAUAGUAAUUCAACUUAGUAUGAGAGGAACCAUUGAUUCAUACAAUUGGUCAUCGUGCUUGGUUGAAAAGCCAAUGGCGCAAAGCUACCGUGUGUCGGAUUAUCACUGAAUGCCUCUAAGUUAGAAUCCACGCUAGAAGCGGUGGAUGUCACUCUUCGACUGUAUCUCGACCCACAGUAGGGGCGUCGCUUUGUCGCCCCCAGGGGCUCGUGUCAUUUGCAAACCGCGACCGUGAAGCAUCUUGGUUAGGGCAGCUUUGAAGUUCAAUUUCAAAUGGUCAUUGAGAAGAAUCCUUUUCAGACGACUUAAAUACACGACGGGGUAUUGUAAGUGGUAGAGUGGCCUUGCUGCCACGAUCCACUUAGAUUCAGC
rnacentral:rRNA from 1 species